GGUAACCAAAAAGCCAAGUCAAACCCAUUUUCCCACUGUCGGUGCUUCUGCUUCUUCUCCUACAGCGACUAUUUAAGUUCCAUGCAUUUUUGUUCCGUUCAUUCAUCUCCAUUGAUUUCAUUGUUGGGUAGUUCUAUAUUGGCCUGGUUGAUCUUUCAGUUUCUAAUCCAUUGAAAUGAAGUUCAACAAAUUUUUAGCUACAGCAUUGGUAGAGUUGCCAAGAUUGCAGCUAACAAAGCCACGAAUGUUACUGAUAAAAAGAUUGAUCAGUUAGUGAUCAAUGAUAAGCAGGAAAUCCUCGAGUCCUGGGAGUUUCCAUCUUUGCAUCGGUCUGAAGAAGAAGAAGAUUUAACAUGUUGGCGCUGGAAGAGAAAAAUUGAUGUGCACCCAUGAAAAGGACGACGACACAUGCAAAUUCUGGCUUCAAAAUCAUCGACAAGGGAAGAAGGUAAUCCGGUAUGUAAAAGGUGUUCCUGAUGAUGCUUGGGCGUGCAGGUGGUCAAGGCAAUAGAAAGGGUGCUCAAUGUCCCAAAAUUGUGGAACACUUGGUUCACACAUAUUGUGCUGGUGAACUUGUGCAAGCAGAAGUUAAGUCUGGAUCUGAAACUGGGUUAGCAUUAACAAUCUUUUUCAUUUCAUCAUAAUUCUUCGCAGGUAGUUAGCUCAUAGCUGUGUAAUUGUCAUAAUCAUUGUUUUUAAUGAUUGCGUUAUUAUUACUGUGCUGGGUGUGUACUAAUAGAUGGUACUUUAUCUUAUCAUAUUCAUAUUGUUCAAAACAUCAUACAUUUUUUUUCCUAUAACUAUUGCCACCUGCUACAAAGAAAUGAUCCGGAAAUUCAUGAAAGAAGGAAAAAUUGCCCCUUCCGUGGUAACUGUGAAGCAUCUGCAGCAGGAAAUGCAGCAAAGUGAAAACAAGAAAUUUGUCAUUGAUUCCCUCGUAAUGAAGAAAAUCGCACUGCAUUUGAGAACAGUGUAAUGCUAGAGAAUUUUACUGUCAAUCAACAGCAAUUAAUAAUAUCUUUAUUGGCUCUUCUCAAUUUUGAGAAUUCUUCUUUUUUUUUCUGAGAAUAAUUUUAAGAAUUCCUCUACUUUCAGUUGUAGAGACUUUAUUCCUUGCUGAUAUCACGCAUUAUCAUUGUUGUAAAAGUGAAUUUUAUACUGUCUUGCAGAUGAAAAUUGAGCCUCAGAGGUGUUGACAAAACGUCUUCUAUGCAGGAACCAGGGAAGAGUUGAUGAUAACAUUGAUACCAUACAAAAAUGACUGAAAGUUUAUUUUGAAUCAACGCUACCUGUCAUCAGCUACUACAGCUCAAAAGGAAAAGUUCAGAAGAUUGAUGCUGAAAGAUAGGUAUUUUAGGAUGUCAGAAGUGUCUUCUCCAAGCUCAAACCAAAGCUGUAGGCUUAAAGAAUGAAUGAAAAAUCCUACAACUUGGAGCACAAGUGGCAUCCUAUGAUUCUUUAGCAAUGAAAAACAUGCUUUUAGCAGUUGCUAAUUAGUGGGAAUGGGAAUAUUUUAUAGUACUCUUUAGAUUACAAGUUUCCUCUUAAAAAUUCUGUCUAAUUUUCAAUAUUAUCAAAGUAGCUAAUCUGUGCAGAGUUAGGAAUCCAGAGGUCCUAACCUUAUAAUUACGUUAGCAGUCUUUAAGUGGAAGCUGAGGCAUUUUAAUU